rnacentral:lncRNA from 1 species
AUGCCGAAGUCCAAGCAAUUCAAGGAAUUGGAUUUCUUUCAUGCCUUACUUUCAAAGGUUGGGUUCUCUCUGGGCGGUCGAGCCCUAUCCUUUGCUCUAAGAGGGUUGGGCUGCUCAGCAGGGCUUGCCUUGACUGUAGACUUUACUUUACGAGCGCUGCUCACAUACCAAAACCAUAUGAUGCCUCUCGGCGAGGGGACAUCAGGCUCUGAGUCUCCGGCAUCUCAGUCGGACUCCCCAUGCCUCCUCGGAAACGGAUUCGGACGGAUCUCCACCACAAUCCGUCUCGUCCCCUGGGAGCGUCACCGCUGCGGAGGUAGAAAGUCACACGCGGGAUGA